AGACCGUGAUGUGGACAUAUAUGUAUCGUGUCUUUGUCUCUCUCCCAUGGGUCAUAGAGAGAUUCUACAUCUUUUUGUCAAAAUCCAUUGAUUUGAGCUCUCAGCAU